rnacentral:rRNA from 1 species
UACGUAGGGACCAAGCGUUGUUCGGAUUUACUGGGCGUAAAGGGCGCGUAGGCGGCACAGCAAGUCGGAAGUGAAAGCCCGGGGCUCAACCCCGGAAUGUCUUUCGAAACUGCUGAGCUAGAGUGCAGAAGAGGCAACUGGAAUUCCCAGUGUAGCGGUGAAAUGCGUAGAGAUGUGGAGGAACACCAAUGGCGAAGGCAGCCUCCUGGGCCAAUACUGACACUCAUGCACGAAAGCGUGGGGAG